rnacentral:rRNA from 1 species
GAUGAACGCUAGCGGCAGGCUUAACACAUGCAAGUCGAGGGGUAUAUAGGAGCUUGCUUUUAUAGAGACCGGCAAACGGGUGCGGAACACGUACGCAAUCUGCCCUUAUCUUGGGGAUAGCCCAUAGAAAUGUGGAUUAAUACCCAAUAGUAUAUUUGGAUGGCAUCAUUUAAAUAUUAAAGAACUUCGGAUAAGGAUGAGCAUGCGUAAGAUUAGCUAGAUGGUGAGGUAACGGCUCACCAUGGCAACGAUCUUUAGCUGAUGUGAGAGCAUGAUCAGCCACACGGGCACUGAGACACGGGCCCGACUCCUACGGGAGGCAGCAGUGAGGAAUAUUGGUCAAUGGACGGAAGUCUGAACCAGCCAUGCCGCGUGAAGGAUGAAGGCGUUCUGCGUUGUAAACUUCUUUUAUCAGGGAAGAAACCACAGAUUUCUAUUUGUGUUGACGGUACCUGAGGAAUAAGCACCGGCUAACUCCGUGCCAGCAGCCGCAGUAACAC